GAUUCUGGUUGAUCCUGCCAGUAGUCAUAUGCUUGUCUCAAAGAUUAAGCCAUGCAUGUCUAAGUUUAAGCAAUAAACAGUGAAACUGCGAAUGGCUCAUUAAAUCAGUCAUAGUUUAUUUGAUGGUACCUUACUACAUGGAUAACUGUGGUAAUUCUAGAGCUAAUACAUGCUGAAAAAUCCCGACUUCUGGAAGGGAUGUAUUUAUUAGAUCCAAAACCAAUGGCCUUCGGGUCCCUAUGGUGAAUCAUGAUAACUGCUCGAAUCGCAUGGCCUUGCGCCGGCGAUGCUUCAUUCAAAUAUCUGCCCUAUCAACUUUCGAUGGUAGGAUAGAGGCCUACCAUGGUGAUGACGGGUAACGGGGAAUAAGGGUUCGAUUCCGGAGAGAGGGCCUGAGAAACGGCCCUCAGGUCUAAGGACACGCAGCAGGCGCGCAAAUUAUCCCCUGGCAACACUUUGCCGAGAUAGUGACAAUAAAUAACAAUGCAGGGCUCUUACGGGUCUUGCAAUUGGAAUGAGUACAAUUUAAAUCCCUUAACGAGGAUCAAUUGGAGGGCAAGUCUGGUGCCAGCAGCCGCGGUAAUUCCAGCUCCAAUAGCGUAUAUUAAAAUUGUUGCCGUUAAAAAGCUCGUAGUCGAACUUCGGGCUCUGUCAGCCGGUCCGCCUUCUUGGUGUGUACUUGUUUGACGGAGCCUUACCUCCUGGUGAACGGCGAUGUCCUUUACUGGGUGUCGUCGCAAACCAGGACUUUUACUUUGAAAAAAUUAGAGUGUUCAAAGCAGGCCUUUGCCCGAAUACAUUAGCAUGGAAUAAUAAAAUAGGACGCGCGUUCCCAUUUUGUUGGUUUCUGAGAUCGCCGUAAUGAUUAAUAGGGAUAGUUGGGGGCAUUUGUAUUCCGUCGUCAGAGGUGAAAUUCUUGGAUUGCCGGAAGACAAACUACUGCGAAAGCAUUUGCCAAGGAUGUUUUCAUUGAUCAAGAACGAAGGAAGGGGGAUCGAAAACGAUUAGAUACCGUUGUAGUCUCUUCUGUAAACUAUGCCAAUUGGGGAUCGGUACAGGAUUUUUAAUGACUGUAUCGGCACCCGAAGAGAAAUCUUUAAAUGAGGUUCGGGGGGGAGUAUGGUCGCAGGGCUGAAACUUAAAGGAAUUGACGGAAGGGCACCACCAGGUGUGGAGCCUGCGGCUUAAUUUGACUCAACACGGGGAAACUCACCAGGUCCAGACACAAUAAGGAUUGACAGAUUGAUAGCUCUUUCUUGAUCUUGUGGUUGGUGGUGCAUGGCCGUUCUUAGUUGGUGGAGUGAUUUGUCUGGUUAAUUCCGAUAACGAACGAGACCUUAACCUGCUAAAUAGACCAGCCGGCUUUGGCUAGCUGCUGUCUUCUUAGAGGGACUAUCAGCGUUUAGCUGAUGGAAGUUUGAGGCAAUAACAGGUCUGUGAUGCCC
rnacentral:rRNA from 1 species